rnacentral:rRNA from 1 species
CUAUAAUGCAAGUCGAGCGGGACCGACGGGAGCUUGCUCCCUUAGGUCAGCGGCGGACGGGUGAGUAACACGUGGGUAACCUGCCUGUAAGACUGGGAUAACUCCGGGAAACCGGGGCUAAUACCGGAUGCUUGAUUGAACCGCAUGGUUCAAUCAUAAAAGGUGGCUUUUAGCUACCACUUACAGAUGGACCCGCGGCGCAAUAGCUAGUUGGUGAGGUAACGGCUCACCAAGGCGACGAUGCGUAGCCGACCUGAGAGGGUGAUCGGCCACACUGGGACUGAGACACGGCCCAGACUCCUACGGGAGGCAGCAGUAGGGAAUCUUCCGCAAUGGACGAAAGUCUGACGGAGCAACGCCGCGUGAGUGAUGAAGGUUUUCGGAUCGUAAAACUCUGUUGUUAGGGAAGAACAAGUACCGUUCGAAUAGGGCGGUACCUUGACGGUACCUAACCAGAAAGCCACGGCUAACUACGUGCCA